UCAAAACUCAUGUCGGCUCUCACGGUUUACUGUUGUGUGAAUGACAAGAGACCACAACAAAUAAAUCAGCCAUUCCUCUAGGGAACGCGAAAACCUUUGCGAGGGAACACAAAAGUAUUCUGAGGUAACGCAAAAAAAUAUAUAUUUUCCCCAUGUCCCCUAAAGGGCUCUGUAUACACUUACCUCAGCCUUGUCGUGUGUCAAGUGCUGCUGGUUCUGAUGUCGUUUUUUGUUGUUUUAAUUCGGCAAAACGUUAAUUUUUGUGUUUAUCUCACUGAGUUGUGUUGCUUUAUUAACUCAAUACUUGCUGGAAUAAAUUAUAAAUGUCUCCCAAGGACGACAGCAGCAUUCAGGACAAAACGCAGAAUCACUUAGUUAUCAGCUAUUAUAUAGGUUACAAAAUAUGUUCGGUCUGCGAGUGUCAUGUUAGUUACACAUAGCAGAAGCAGUCGUAAUAUUGCCUAGCUUUUAGGUUUAACAUGGGUUCUGUUGUCUGUUCAUCUUUUAUUAUGAAGUAUUACAUAGUUGACAUUUAUAUUUUAAACAGGGACCACAGAAGGAACCCAGGCCCUCAUCAACUGGCGUAUUCCCAAUGAGGGCCUAUUUGCAGGCAGGAGGAACUCCUCCAAAACCGAAUGGCAUGAUUUUGUGAGACCCUCUGGACUGCAGAUCACACCGAAGAAGGCCAAAAAAAAAGCGGCACAAUUUGGUGCAAAAAUAUAAGGACAAGAAGGUAAGAGAUCUUAAUGGCAACUGGCGGGCGAUAGGGCGUCAGGGAGGUGAUUGGGUCCAGGAGGCAUGGGAACGCACCAUUGCAGUGUAGAAAAAAAAUCCCUUAGGUGGGUAUAAAGCAUUUUUAUACAACGGAGAGCGCCGCAGUACCAGUGAGUGAUGGACAAAGCCUACAUUGUCGAUGUAAACAUUCAAAAUCUUUCCCCGUGCGUCACACACACCCUGCAGGAUGAUUGAAGGGAAGAGUUUUCUGUUUAAAUAACAUUUAUUUUGUGGCUCUGCAGGUGGAACAAUUCGCACGUCACCCAUCAAUGGAACCGACUGCUCCUUUGAGCGCCUCGAUCCCGGCAAGGCGGGCAAAACCAGCACCCACUCCCUCCAAAUCUUGUCUUUUUGGGAAGAAAUUUUUUUUUUAAUGAUCCCCAUCAGGGAGUUCAUGACUCUGUGCACCACCUGGCACACAAGGGCAUCACAAAGAUGUCGGCUGUUUCCCUAUAGGAUGCACCGCCGGCCAGCCAGAAGAGGGUCACCAGCACUCUCCUUAUCCUCACAUGUU